CCCAAUUUAGUAUCAUCUGUGAAUUUGGUCAGUAGACUGGUCACCCCCUCUUCCAGGUCAUUGAUGAAUAGAUUGAACAGGAUGAGUCCCAAGACAGAGCCCUGGGGAACCCUGCUCAUCACCUGCCCCUUUCCCAAUGAUUCCUCACUAAAAGUUACCCUUGCUUUUGGUCCGUCAACUGUGCCCUAAUCCAUCAGACAUCAAACUUUUUAAAUAG